GGCAGAGAGAAGGCGGCCGCCCCGGCUGCAAAACAGCAGGGGAGGAAAGUCCGGGCUCCGGAGGAUGGCGUAGCGGGUAACGCCCGCCUAGCCCAUCACGGGCUAAGGAUUAGAGCUAUAGAGACGAGUCCCCGCGCCCAUAAAGGCGCGGGGGGGUGGAACGAGCAAUCUCUACGCGGAGCAAGGUCAAUAGGGGAUGAGCGCUGAUCCGGCGCGUUAUCAGUCCCGGGUACACCCCCACACCAAUUGGUGUGGGGGUAAACUGCUAAAGUUGCCGGCGGCAACGCCGCAACUGAGAGGAAUGGCCGCUAAGGAUGCGAAAAAUCGCAUUGACACAGAACCCGGCUUAAUCUCUCUGCCCAAA
rnacentral:RNase_P_RNA from 1 species